rnacentral:rRNA from 1 species
UCGGGAAUUUUGGGCAAUGGGCGAAAGCCUGACCCAGCAACGCCGCGUGAAGGAUGAAGUCUCUCGGGAUGUAAACUUCGUAAGAAUAGGAAGAAUAAAUGACGGUACUAUUUAUAAGGUCCGGCUAACUACGUGCCAGCAGCCGCGGUAAUACGUAGGGACCAAGCGUUGUUCGGAUUUACUGGGCGUAAAGGGCGCGUAGGCGGCAUGACAAGUCACUUGUGAAAUCUCUGGGCUUAACCCAGAACGGCCAAGUGAUACUGUCGCGCUAGAGUGCAGAAGGGGCAAUCGGAAUUCUUGGUGUAGCGGUGAAAUGCGUAGAUAUCAAGAGGAACACCUGAGGUGAAGACGGGUUGCUGGGCUGACACUGACGCUGAGGCGCGAAAGCCAGGGGAGCAAACGGGAUUAGAUACCCGCGUAGUCCCUGAGCGGGCUGGCAAGGCGCAU